GAUGAACGCUGGCGGCGUGCCUAAUACAUGCAAGUCGAGCGAACGGACGAGAAGCUUGCUUCUCUGAUGUUAGCGGCGGACGGGUGAGUAACACGUGGAUAACCUACCUAUAAGACUGGGAUAACUUCGGGAAACCGGAGCUAAUACCGGAUAAUAUUUUGAACCGCAUGGUUCAAAAGUGAAAGACGGUCUUGCUGUCACUUAUAGAUGGAUCCGCGCUGCAUUAGCUAGUUGGUAAGGUAACGGCUUACCAAGGCAACGAUGCAUAGCCGACCUGAGAGGGUGAUCGGCUACACUGGAACUGAGACACGGUCCAGACUCCUACGGGAGGCAGCAGUAGGGAAUCUUCCGCAAUGGGCGAAAGCCUGACGGAGCAACGCCGCGUGAGUGAUGAAGGUCUUCGGAUCGUAAAACUCUGUUAUUAGGGAAGAACAUAUGUGUAAGUAACUGUGCACAUCUUGACGGUACCUAAUCAGAAAGCCAUGGCUAACUACGUGCCAGCAGCCGCGGUAAUACGUAGGUGGCAAGCGUUAUCCGGAAUUAUUGGGCGUAAAGCGCGCGUAGGCGGUUUUUUAAGUCUGAUGUGAAAGCCCACGGCUCAACCGUGGAGGGUCAUUGGAAACUGGAAAACUUGAGUGCAGAAGAGGAAAGUGGAAUUCCAUGUGUAGCGGUGAAAUGCGCAGAGAUAUGGAGGAACACCAGUGGCGAAGGCGACUUUCUGGUCUGUAACUGACGCUGAUGUGCGAAAGCGUGGGGAUCAAACAGGAUUAGAUACCCUGGUAGUCCACGCCGUAAACGAUGAGUGCUAAGUGUUAGGGGGUUUCCGCCCCUUAGUGCUGCAGCUAACGCAUUAAGCACUCCGCCUGGGGAGUACGACCGCAAGGUUGAAACUCAAAGGAAUUGACGGGGACCCGCACAAGCGGUGGAGCAUGUGGUUUAAUUCGAAGCAACGCGAAGAACCUUACCAAAUCUUGACAUCCUUUGACAACUCUAGAGAUAGAGCCUUCCCCUUCGGGGGACAAAGUGACAGGUGGUGCAUGGUUGUCGUCAGCUCGUGUCGUGAGAUGUUGGGUUAAGUCCCGCAACGAGCGCAACCCUUAAGCUUAGUUGCCAUCAUUAAGUUGGGCACUCUAAGUUGACUGCCGGUGACAAACCGGAGGAAGGUGGGGAUGACGUCAAAUCAUCAUGCCCCUUAUGAUUUGGGCUACACACGUGCUACAAUGGACAAUACAAAGGGCAGCGAAACCGCGAGGUCAAGCAAAUCCCAUAAAGUUGUUCUCAGUUCGGAUUGUAGUCUGCAACUCGACUACAUGAAGCUGGAAUCGCUAGUAAUCGUAGAUCAGCAUGCUACGGUGAAUACGUUCCCGGGUCU
rnacentral:rRNA from 1 species